UGCAGCCCCGUCAAAUUCAGACUGUGCCUCCUCCGUGGUGGGGACUGGCCAGCCGGCUGCCACGGCAACUUCUGUGGUCUGUGAGCCCUGUGUUCCCUCCCGUGGGACCCUGGGGAUAAAAUAAUGCCACAGACAUUG
rfam:Gavia stellata contig43169, whole genome shotgun sequence.